AUACCCCACUGCUCCCAGAAGCGGUUACCUGGGCACUCUGCGCCCCUUAUUCCUGUCCCGGCCUGGGGCGGAGGACCUGCCAGUAGGGCUCAGUUGCCUGGAGCCUGUUCAGCCCAUCCCACGGUUGACUUUGCAUGUGGGAUCUCCCCGUUGCUCCUGCCCCUGGACGGAGUGGCAGGCCAUCCUACAAGCACCUGGACACUUGGCAUCAGUGGUGUCAAGACAACUCCAAGAAGGUUUUCUGUGAUCCUGCAAGCCCUGUGUUCCUUCCUGGUGAUUCUGCCUUCAGUUUGAUUGCACAGGAACCACAGCAAGCCAGUGCUGUGUGCUCCAAAUUCCAGGGCGUCCUCCAGUUCAGCCACUGCACUGAGCACAAGGAAUCUUUGUGGGGCCCAGGAGCAGGGAGUCACCCCUUUGGGACCCACAACACCCGGCUGUCCCCAGACUCAUAUCCAGGGAAGAUCUUGUUGAAGGCCCUUAAGGAGAGCGGGGCAGGGAUGCCUGAGCAGGACAAGGACCCCAGAGUCCAAGAGAAUCCUGAUGAUCACGGAAGGGUCCCCGUGGUCACCAGGGAUGCAGAGUCUGCAUUUCAGCCCCUGCGGGACAAUGGAGGCCCCUCUCCUUUUGUGCCCAGGUCUGGGCCACUGCAGAGAGACUUCCAUGCCCAGAGGUCAGAAGUCAGAUAUAAGCAGAGAUCCCAGACCUCCUGGACGAGCUCGUGCACCAAACGAAAUGCCAUCUCGAGCUCCUACAGCUCCACGGGAGGCUUCCCGUGGCUAAAGCGGAGGAGGGGCCAGCCUCAUCCCACUGUCAGCUGAUCCUCAGUUCCUCAAAGAUAGUGAGGACAGGUCUCAGGUUGUCCCUUCAGGUCACACCCAGUGUGAAAAGGUGGCAGAUACAGCACCAGGGCAGAGACUCGCCCCUAGGAAUGGCUCCCCCAGAUCCCAGACCUCUAGGCCCCGUAGACGCAAGUUUCCCCUGCUGCCACACAGGCGAGGGCAGCCUCUGAUGCUGCCACCUCCCUUAGAGCUGGGGUUCCGGGUCACUGCUGAAGACUUGGACCUGGAGAAGGAGGUGGCGUUCCAGUGUAACAACAGUGUACUGCGGGGUGAGGCCAAGGCCAUCUGGGACUGCAGACCCUCACGGCCUUCCCACACUUUGUCCUCACUUGAAACUGGGACUUCUGGUCUGCCUGCUGUUUCUGAAGCACUGAGCAUGGAUGCACAGCAGGAGAGAGACAAGUCCCAAGACUCCCGGGGCCCAGUGGCCCCCUAGCAUCUGCUGCAGAGGCUCCCUCUACAGCUCCUGUGUCUGGGAAGAUGCACAGACCACCAGGCUCCCUGUUCUCCUUCUCAGAUCCCCUUCCUGCCACCUCUUCUCACCCCUAGGACUCAGCCCAGGUCACCUUGCUGAUUCCUGCCCCUCCUUGCCAGCUGCAAGCAUGGAGGGCAGCAUGAGAAGCCCAAGGCCUGGCACUUCUGGAGCCAGUUCCACCCCUGCAGCCACACCCACGGGCUUUGGAAGCAAAGAGGCAGCCGCAGCUCUGUUCCCUCAGGAGAAAACGGGCAAAGAGAAAGGCCCUGAGCACCACACAUGGCAAUGGGGCAUGAGGGGGCCUGAACACCAGGGGGCCCCCAGGCUGAGCACAUCCAUGGUGACUGCGGGACCUGGCACAGGGAGCAACUGUUGGGUGGCACUUUUGUCUUUCCAUCACAUCCUUGGGGGACUAUUUAAGCAGACACCCCCAACUGCAAGUCGGGGAUCCAGUGCCACUGCAAACAAGGUAGGCUGCACAUGCAAGUCUGGGCCGGCUUCUGACUCUAGCAACCCCUCUUCCCGCGUGGGCACAGCAAGGAGGAACCUGGCCUCUAAGGCUCUCUUGUGUGCUGUCGGGUUCUGCUGGACACAGGUCCAAUGGGCCAUCGUCCAGCUCAUCCUUCUCCAUGUUGGGCUUUCGAGCCCGUCAUAAAUUCCUUGCCUAGAGUGGGGUCCA